UACGUAGGCAGCAAGCGUUGUUCGGAGUUACUGGGCGUAAAGGGUGCGUAGGCGGCUUUUUAAGUUUGGUGUGAAAUCUCCUGCUUAACCGGGAGGGUGCGCCGAAUACUGAGAAGCUAGAGUACGGGAGAGGAAAGUGGAAUUCCUGGUGUAGCGGUGAAAUGCGUAGAUAUCAGGAGGAACACCGGUGGCGAAGGCGGCUCUCUGGACGGUGACUGACGCUGAGACGCGAAAAGCUAGGGGAGCAAACGGGG
rnacentral:rRNA from 1 species